UACAGAGGUGGCAAGCGUUGUUCGGAAUUACUGGGCGUAAAGGGCGCGUAGGCGGUCACCGCAAGUCGACUGUGAAAUCUCCGGGCUUAACCCGGAAAGGUCAGCCGAUACUGCGGGGCUAGAGUGCAGAAGGGGCAACUGGAAUUCUCGGUGUAGCGGUGAAAUGCGUAGAUAUCGAGAGGAACACCUGCGGCGAAGGCGGGUUGCUGGGCUGACACUGACGCUGAGGCGCGAAAGCUAGGGGAGCAAACGGG
rnacentral:rRNA from 1 species